GGAAGAAAAGCAGGGGAUCGCAAGACCUUGUGCUUUAGGAGUGGCCGAUGUCUGAUUAGCUAGUUGGUAAGGUAAAAGCUUACCAAGGCGACGAUCAGUAGCUGGUCUGAGAGGACGUUCAGCCACACUGGGACUGAGACACGGCCCAGACUCCUACGGGAGGCAGCAGUGGGGAAUUUUGGACAAUGGGCGAAAGCCUGAUCCAGCAAUGCCGCGUGAGUGAAGAAGGCCUUCGGGUUGUAAAGCUCUUUCAGUCGAGAAGAAAAAGCUAUAUUAAAUAAAUAUAGCUAAUGACGGUAUCGAAAGAAGAAGCACCGGCUAACUACGUGCCAGCAGCCGCGGUAAUACGUAGGGUGCAAGCGUUAAUCGGAAUUACUGGGCGUAAAGGGUGCGCAGGCGGUACUGUAAGUCAGAUGUGAAAUCCCCGGGCUUAACCUGGGAACUGCGUUUGAAACUACAAAGCUA
rnacentral:rRNA from 1 species